UUGUAACGCGAGACCCCCUCAAAUAAUAGUAUGCUGCCACCACAAUAGUUUAUAGAGUUAUUGAGCUCUCGACCAAGCAUUAUUUAACACUUGAUCGUAAAUCAAGAACUUUUUCCUCGAUGAGAACUUUAAUUAAUUAAAUGUCUAGUAAACCUCCAAUCAGAAUAGCCGUCUCAUGAUCCAAUAUCUGAGAUUACGCUUCGAGGCCUAUGAUUGGUCCAUCUUCUUGCAUCGACCGCCAACUUUUAGCCUCUCCGUUCUGCCACAGCCAUGGAUGUUGAAGGAGCUCCGAUGACCUGAAGAAAAACCGUCAUUUCUCCCGUCUUGAGACUUCAGACAUACUUCAUGACCCGGACUCUCGCAACAGAAUUUAAUAGAUGUUGGAGAAGGUAACAGCACAUCUCCUGACAGACUGGUUUCUCUUCCAAGUAUCAUCAUCGCCGGACUCUCCCCAGUAGACGCCUAGACUGCUGAUCUGUAUGCCAACAUCGCAAACGGAAUCCUAGUCUCAUCCCAGUCCUGUUCACCACUUGGAUCAAGCAAUGACGACACCAUACCCAUCUUCUUCAAUCUCAUACGGUGUCAACAAUCGGUGCAAGGUUGUCUGGAUAACCCAUCAGCAUUUGAGUGAGCAUGUCCAGCACAAUUUUCCAAGGUGACGACUGCGCUCCAUCCCCUACUGCUCCGACAUGACGUGGCUUAUUCCUCUCUCCUGCCUUCUCCGGCUG